rnacentral:lncRNA from 1 species
CCCCCUAGCGGAGGCCGCUUCUGCGGCCAGGCCCUGUUUAAUUCAAUAUUCCCCAAACUUGCUUGUUCACAAGAAUCACGUGGGGAGCGUGUUAAAAUUACAGAUUCCUCGGCUCCAUCCGCAGGUCUACUGGAUCAGACUCUGGAAGGGUGGUACUUCGGAACCUGUAUCUCUACCUAGGGCCGGAGAGGCUGCUUAUGAUCAGCACACAAGAUUACUUCCAGCAAGUGCUUUGUGGCCUGCAACCAGAGGAACUGCAACUAAUGUAUCUUCUGAAGGAACGCUACUGCUGCUGCUGCUAAAAGUGACUGAGGUCAUGGAACAUGGGAGGGAGGGUGAUGGUGCUCUCUUCCUAAUUACUAUCUUCACAGACAACCAAGAGACCCAAAGAUCUCUGAGUAUCUGAGACUGACAGCUGUGGAAGACUAAGCAUGAUAAUCUCAUUAUCUUAUUGAUCAACUAUCUGCAGAAACCCACAGCUCCACUUGGACUCUCCCAACCAGUGUGUUCUGGAAGUGGAGGGCUCUACCACUCAGUGGAUGUUUAUUCAGCACCCACCCACAACCAGAUGCUGAACCAGACACCCCAGGGCCAGAAUCAGGGCUGGUUUCCCCAAAAAGCAUACUAACACUAAGGAAGAGUCUAGGCCACUAGCAGAGAAGUGGCACCAAAACCCAUAUAGAGAUAUAGACAUAGAUGAUAUAGAUAUGGGGAUACAGUAUAGAUGAGUUUUUAAAAGUGGUCCUUGUGGGAAAAGUCACAACUUAGUUGUACUUCCUUAAAUUCUUUUCCUUUUUGCGUGUUACUUUUGCUUUGAAUCACAUUCAGAGGCUGUCACCAUAAUCUUGAGGUGUUUAGUGGUUGUUUGAGUCUAGAUUCAGUCCUAGGCAAGCACAGUUUCACCGUGUCUGCCUCACAAGACCUGACAAGUGCUGACAGAAAGAACUGACCUUAAGAAAGACAGCUCCUCCUCACAGUCCAUGCACCUGAAUGCUAAGUAUAGCUCUGACCACAAGGUGGCAAAGAAGUAAAUCACAAUUCCUUGUUACUUUUUGUAUGUUUAUAUUAAACUUUCAGUUUAUAUCAAAAUGCUGUCUCAAAAGUAUUUCAAAAAACGUUGUGCUCCUUCAUGUAUGUUUAGGUUGACAUCUAAAAUUCUGCAUCAUGAAUGUCAACUGGCUGCAAAAAUGUAAUUUCUGACAAGUGAUAACCUUCACAAAUAAAAGUUAUGUCACUAUUUUAUAUGAAUCUGGUGAAACCUAAAUACCUUAGUAAUUUCAGAGAUACCAUCUUUUGUUUUAAAAAUUCAUAACCAAGCUCUUUGAUCAUUAUAAGUUGUACAUUUCCCCUUUUCUCCUUGAGUUCUUAAUUC